UUUUCUAUUCAUACCUCUAGCUUCAUAUCCGAGCAGUACCCAAUUCCGUCUGAUCUGUUUCAGCCACCAACCAUGGGAUGUGGUAAGAUGCAGCCUGUGAGCAGCAUUUCACACCCCCCCCUGAAGGGAGUCAUCGGUGAGCAAAAACAUCAACCCUUGUUCUGAAGCUGUUUAAAAAAAUUCACCCCAGGUGUGACGAAACAAAUGACAAUUUCCUGGGUAGCUUUUCACCUUUCCUAUUUGAUCAGCUGCACAGCACACUGUUUUCUGCUAAAUGCCUUGGACUCACGGAAACCUGGAGACCUCAUAAGAUGUCACAUAUACCAGCAAGAGUAACAGUAUUGUUUCAAAUUUUGGGCUCUUCCCCUGGACAGAUUCAAGCUGGCACUCCAACAGGAAGAAAGCUCUCCAAGAAGCUUAUUGAUUUGAACCACGAUUUCUACGGAGGUGGUCUAGAAAUAUUACUUUACAUGCACUGUAUCUAUAUUUCCUCUGCAAGCUACACAAAAGGCUUUUUAUCAGAGCUUCUUUCAUUUACUCACUUUUCUGGAAAACCGUGCUAAAUACAGUGGCAACAUGGAUUGAACAAAUCACAUCAUCAGUGGAAAUAACUAUAUUCAGGUAUCGCUAUUGAAGUGUCAAGCACUAAA
rnacentral:lncRNA from 1 species